rnacentral:antisense_RNA from 1 species
UUGUCUCCUAGGCGACCGACGCGGAAAGGGCCACGGAGUCGUGUGUCGGGGCUGGAGGGAGAUCUUGAGGUCCUCCCAGUGACUGACCUGGCUCAUUCUCCGAAAGUAGUUGACAGGCCACUAUGAGAGCUCUUGAGAGAAGCUUUGUGACAUGAAAUUCAUCAAAUGAAGCAAGAUUCAUUUUUAAAGAAUAAUACAAAGCUCCAGGGUAAUAUGCUUAAUCCAAAUGUUUAAAUAGAAUUAAAAACCACAUUUUAAGUAAAUUUAAAAUUAAUGAAAUAUCAAUAGUUUGCCUUAACAAGGACUUGCUUGAACCAUGUUCUCCUUUUAAAAUCACACACACAGAAUCAGUGUACAUUUAGAGAAAUUUCCCCAACUGAAUACAUUUUUGACAUGAAUUCAUUCAAAAGACACCAACCAUUAUGAAUAUUUUAGGCCAUGAUAAGCUGUAACCACCUCUGGCUUAUGGUGGUUAGGGUGUUGCAGCUUAAUGUUGACAUCUGG